GAGGGUAUAGCUCAGUGGUAGAGCACAUGCUUAGCAUGUGUGAGGUCCUGGGUUCAAUCCCCAGUGCCCCCA
rnacentral:tRNA from 1 species